AAAACAAGGUGUCCAGUGUUUGGAUAAUAUUUUCAAAGAAAAUACUUAAUUGUUAUAUUAAACUGCAAUAUGAACAACAUUAGUGAGUAAAAACUGCCUUUAUCAAAAUCAUAAAAAUGAAAAUUAAAAUAGGAG